CUGACCCCACGACAGUGUCUAGGGGUGAAUGUUUACAGCUGAAGCCCCAGUGGGCGUGCAUUACAGGAUGCUCUUUUAGUUUAGCCAUCUGCUCAAUUAGACCCCUGCCUUAUCACAAGGACAGAAGGCUGUCUGCAACCCGGGGUUCUUGCCCUGGUGUACCGGAAGACUCAGAUCACAUGUGGGCUUGGAGAAUGAGUGCAAGGUUUUAUUGAGCGGAAGUACCUCUCAGCAGAUGGGGGAGCCAGAAGGGAGAUGGUUUUCUCUUGGAGUUGGGCCGCUUGGUGGCCCGGGCUCUCCUCCAACUGCCCCAGCCAAACUCCACAUGGUUCUGUGGCUGCUGGUCAGUGGCCUGCUGGCGUGAAGGCAUGUCGCUGAUCCAGAAGUCAAUAUUCUCCUCACUAUAUUCAGACUUCAAGAAAGCUUUGAAAGCUGCCAGCCCACCUAUGAUACAGGAGAAAGGACCACAGUUGUCAUCACACUGGUUGGCCUCUUGGAUAUGCUAUUUCACAUAAAGCUGAGGUACUUGGGGGAUAAAGCAUGGAUUCAAGCAAUCCCUUUUUCCCCUGCUUUUUUCAAGUCACCUGGAGUCAGGUAACCCUAAUCUGUGUUUGAUAUCCAGUGGUUCCCAGUUCUACCUAAUGAUUCUUACUCAAGUUGGAAGCCUCUUUCAAGGAAGUAUUUUGCUUCUGAAAUGCCUAUGCAGCUAUCAAUUACCAAGGUCAAUUUGGGAAAGAGAAACUGAGAUUGAUUUUGCAAGAAGGUAUUGAUAUUUAUCAUUUUUUUUCUCUCUUCCGUUUUUCCUUGUGAUGAGAGAGAUGGUUUUCCACAUGGUUCCUGCAUAAACUUUUCAUUGUAUAUCACAAAGCUCUAGGGCAUAUUAAAAUUUUAAACAGACUGAAUUUAAGACCUAAAGAGUCUCCUGAGUCUGAACAUCAGAAAGAAGCCAGGCCUUGCUGCAGUUUCUAUUAGACCAGCAUAAUAUAACUUGUCUUAUCCAGAGUACCUCAUCCCAGGUUGCUGUCAGACUUACAUUCAUGACUAAUCAGGUUUUCCAGUGAUUCAGCCCAUUUCUUG
rnacentral:lncRNA from 1 species